GGUAAGAAUUGAAUGAGAUCAGAAAGCAUAGAAGAAUUACAAUCUGUAUUGGUGAAGAGAGCACCCAAACUGAUGAAAUCCUGAAUCCAUCAAGAAACUGUAGUUCAGCAAUGCCCUCAAGGACUAUUGAAAGCCAGAGGGAUUCAGGGUGGAGCUGUUCCCCUCCUCAUCUCCAUGGACCUGAGGACAUUCUUCACUUAACUCUCUCCUCUGUCCAGCAGCCCAAUGGGAGUGCUUCCUCCUUCCCCUGUCUGAGACUCAAUAUUGUGUAUUGGUUCCAAGGCAGAAAAGUGAAAAGGACUAGGUAAUGACGGUUAAGUAAUUCAUCCAAAGUCAUACUACUAGGAAGUUUCUGAGGACAUCUUUGAACCCAGGACCUCCAUAAGCCUGGAUCUCAAUCUACUGAACCACCCAGCUGCCCGUA
rnacentral:lncRNA from 1 species